GGAAUUUAGUUCAGUGGUAGAACAUCUGCCUAGCAUGCACAAGGCCUGGGUUCAAUCCCCAGCCCCA
rnacentral:tRNA from 1 species